rnacentral:tRNA from 1 species
GCUGGGGCUCAGUGGUAGAGCGCUUGCCUCUCAUGUGUGAGGCCCUGGGUUCGGUUCUCAGCACUGCG